AUUAUCCUUAUCAUUUUUCGGACGACUGCACUGCACCAUGGAGUAUAACUAUAUCUCUAUAGACUGCGCCCUACUUUACUCAGACUCUUAUUAUUUUAAUUAUUAUAUUGUCACUGAUAGCGGUAAGUGUAACCGAAGGACAAAUCCAAAAUAUUUGUUUAUAAAUGUUUAAAAAUCAUGAGAUAUUUAAAGUUUUUUCUACAUUAUUAAUAAUACAUUUUUCAAAUAAAUUGAUUAAGAACCAGGAGUACCUAUCAAAAUAAUCUGUAAAAGUGUAAAAUAUUGUUAAAUAUAUAUGAUUGCCCUUAGGUAAUCCCAAGGUGGUAGUUUUCAUAUAAAAACAAUUAUAAUAAUGUAUUCAUCAGUGGCGUAACUUUAAAAUUUUGGCCCGGGAUCAAAAUUGUCAACGACCUUCUCAUUAUCCAGCAAGCUUUUCAACACUUGAACACGAACUUUCAAAAGCUUUCAUACAAACACAAAUUUGUGAACAUCUUAAUAUUUCGUUAAAGAUAAAUUGAUUUAUUUAAGAGCAAAAGAAAUGGCACACCACGAUUUUUGAACAAAAAAUGUGAUCGAAUUUUGGUAUACUUUGACGAAGGCUUAUCCGCGGAGCUGUAUCCGGAUCAAUGCAAUUUUUAUUCCAUUCGCCAUUACAUAUCGUUGUGAAUCUGGAUUUUCUACAAUGGUCAAAAUUAAAACAAAACCAAGAAAUCGAUUGGACAUCAAGAAUGAUAUGCGACUCUAGCCUACACAUAAUGUAUUUAUGUAUGAAAUAUUGUAAAAAGGAUAACUUUGUUUUAGUAUAAUUUUUCGGAACGUUGUGAACUCCUGAUGGCUGAUGACGCCGAUGUAAUAAUUAUAUAACAUAUUUAUUUAAACUUAUAACA